GAUGAACGCUGGCGGCGUGCUUAACACAUGCAAGUCGAACGAGAAGUGGAGACGGACACCUUCGGGCGGAAGACUUUAUUUCGAGUGGCGGACGGGUGAGUAACGCGUGGGUAACCUGCCUCAUACAGGGGGAUAACAGUUGGAAACGACUGUUAAUACCGCAUAAGACCACAGCACCGCAUGGUGCGGGGGUAAAAACUCCGGUGGUAUGAGAUGGACCCGCGUUCGAUUAGCCAGUUGGCGGGGUAACGGCCCACCAAAGCGACGAUCGAUAGCCGAUCUGAGAGGAUGACCGGCCACAUUGGGACUGAGACACGGCCCAAACUCCUACGGGAGGCAGGAGUGGGGAAUAUUGCACAAUGGGGGAAACCCUGAUGCAGCGACGCCGCGUGAGUGAAGAAGUAUUUCGGUAUGUAAAGCUCUAUCAGCAGGGAAGAAAAUGACGGUACCUGAGUAAGAAGCCCCGGCUAACUACGUG
rnacentral:rRNA from 1 species